UACGGAGGGGGCGAGCGUUAUUCGGAAUUAUUGGGCGUAAAGGGCGCGUAGGCGGCCUGAUAAGUCAAAGGUGAAAUCCCUCGGCUCAACUGAGGAAUUGCCUUUGAAACUGUCAGGCUUGAGGCCGGGAGGGGGUGGCGGAAUUCCCAGUGUAGCGGUGAAAUGCGUAGAUAUUGGGAGGAACACCAGUGGCGAAGGCGGCCACCUGGACCAAUUCUGACGCUGAGGAGCGAAAGCCAGGGGAGCAAACGGG
rnacentral:rRNA from 1 species